rnacentral:tRNA from 1 species
GCCUAGUUAGCUUAGUUGGUUGUGCGUCUGCCUUGUAAGCGCUAGGCCGCGGGUUCGAUUCCCGCCCGGGGUG